AGGUUAUUAUCUUCCCAGGUUUCUCCAUUUCUUUCUUCAGCAUGCUCUCUCGAGACAUAUCCCUCCAGUUGAUCCAUUCAUCCAAGAAUUUCUCUAAAGGUGAAGGAAUUAGAAAAUUGGAUAAUGAGGCCAGUUUUUUGUGCGAGUUUUGAAGAGAUCUUGAACGUCUCUUCUCUAAUUAUGGGAGCCGGGACUGUUGAUAGAAUUGACAUAAAAUUUGAAAACAAAUUUGUUAGGUACACAUGGACGUGGAGCAAUAAUAAAUCAAGCACGAGCCAGAAAGACAGUGAAUCGUGGUGGCACAACACACGGGGAUGUAGGAAUAUCGUUGUUUUACCAUUUUCUUAAUUUGUAUUACAUAACCGACCUUACAUUUAACAUUUGGAUUUGAUUAUAAUGGUGGUGAAUAAAUUAGGAUUUGAUUUUUGUG